rnacentral:lncRNA from 1 species
GUCCUUUUUAUGUUAUCUUUUUCAUAAUUUCUUAUGGCUCAAUAAUAUUCCAUUACAGUAAUAUACCACAACUUGUUCAGCCAUUUUACAAUUGAUGGACAUCUCUUCGGUUUCCCAUUCUUUGCUACCACAAAGAGCUGUACUAUCUUUGAACAAUGUUCUAUUUGAAAAACAAGAAAUCUUCAUGAAAAUUCAAUACUUUUUUAAUGAAGUCAAGUUACAGAAAAGAAGAUAUCAUCAUUGCUAUUGUUGUUUGAAAGUCUUUGAGGGAUGCUGCUAUUGCUGA